ensembl:snRNA U6 U6 spliceosomal RNA
GUGCUCCCUUCAGUAGCACAUAUACUGAAAUUGGAAUGAUACAGAGAAGACUAGCAUGGCGUCUGCACAAGGAUGCAAAUUCAUGAAACAUUCCAUAUUUAA